rnacentral:rRNA from 1 species
CUCAUGAUGAACGCUAGCUACAGGCUUAACACAUGCAAGUCGAGGGGCAUCAGGAAGAAAGCUUGCUUUCUUUGCUGGCGACCGGCGCACGGGUGAGUAACACGUAUCCAACCUGCCCUUUACUCGGGGAUAGCCUUUCGAAAGAAAGAUUAAUACCCGAUAGCAUAAUGAUUCCGCAUGGUUUCAUUAUUAAAGGAUUCCGGUAAAGGAUGGGGAUGCGUUCCAUUAGGUUGUUGGUGAGGUAACGGCCCACCAAGCCUUCGAUGGAUAGGGGUUCUGAGAGGAAGGUCCCCCACAUUGGAACUGAGACACGGUCCAAACUCCUACGGGAGGCAGCAGUGAGGAAUAUUGGUCAAUGGGCGCUAGCCUGAACCAGCCAAGUAGCGUGAAGGAUGAAGGCUCUAUGGGUCGUAAACUUCUUUUAUAUAAGAAUAAAGUGCAGUAUGUAUACUGUUUUGUAUGUAUUAUAUGAAUAAGGAUCGGCUAACUCCGUGCCAGCAGCCGCGGUAAUACGGAGGAUCCGAGCGUUAUCCGGAUUUAUUGGGUUUAAAGGGAGCGUAGGUGGACUGGUAAGUCAGUUGUGAAAGUUUGCGGCUCAACCGUAAAAUUGCAGUUGAUACUGUCAGUCUUGAGUACAGUAGAGGUGGGCGGAAUUCGUGGUGUAGCGGUGAAAUGCUUAGAUAUCACGAAGAACUCCGAUUGCGAAGGCAGCUCACUGGACUGCAACUGACACUGAUGCUCGAAAGUGUGGGUAUCAAACAGGAUUAGAUACCCUGGUAGUCCACACAGUAAACGAUGAAUACUCGCUGUUUGCGAUAUACAGUAAGCGGCCAAGCGAAAGCAUUAAGUAUUCCACCUGGGGAGUACGCCGGCAACGGUGAAACUCAAAGGAAUUGACGGGGGCCCGCACAAGCGGAGGAACAUGUGGUUUAAUUCGAUGAUACGCGAGGAACCUUACCAGGGCUUAAAUUGCAGUGGAAUGAUGUGGAAACAUGUCAGUGAGCAAUCACCGCUGUGAAGGUGCUGCAUGGUUGUCGUCAGCUCGUGCCGUGAGGUGUCGGCUUAAGUGCCAUAACGAGCGCAACCCUUAUCUUCAGUUACUAACAGGUCAUGCUGAGGACUCUGGAGAGACUGCCGUCGUAAGAUGUGAGGAAGGUGGGGAUGACGCCAAAUCAGCACGGCCCUUACGUCCGGGGCUACACACGUGUUACAAUGGGGGGUACAGAAGGCAGCUAGCGGGUGACCGUAUGCUAAUCCCAAAAGCCCCUCUCAGUUCGGAUCGAAGUCUGCAACCCGACUUCGUGAAGCUGGAUUCGCUAGUAAUCGCGCAUCAGCCACGGCGCGGUGAAUACGUUCCCGGGCCUUGUACACACCGCCCGUCAAGCCAUGGGAGCCGGGGGUACCUGAAGUACGUAACCGCAAGGAUCGUCCUAGGGU